CCUACGGGUGGCUGCAGUGGGGAAUAUUGGACAAUGGGGGGGAACCCUGAUCCAGCCAUGCCGCGUGUGUGAAGAAGGCCCUCGGGUUGUAAAGCACUUUCAGUGAGGAAGAACGCCUGGUGGUUAAUACCCAUCAGGAAAGACAUCACUCACAGAAGAAGCACCGGCUAACUCCGUGCCAGCAGCCGCGGUAAUACGGAGGGUGCGAGCGUUAAUCGGAAUUACUGGGCGGAAAGCGCGCGUAGGUGGCUUGAUAAGCCGGUUGUGAAAGCCCCGGGCUCAACCUGGGAACGGCAUCCGGAACUGUCAAGCUAGAGUGCAGGAGAGGAAGGUAGAAUUCCCGGUGUAGCGGUGAAAUGCGUAGAGAUCGGGAGGAAUCCCAGUGGCGAAGGCGGCCUUCUGGACUGUCACUGACACUGAGGCGCGAAAGCGUGGGUAGCAAACAGGAUUAGAUACCCUUGUAGUC
rnacentral:rRNA from 1 species